CCAAGGCCUGUCGACUUCCUUAGAAAGAUAUGACGCUUCAUAAUUGCGCAUGUGUGGUCUGACGCUCUGGAAAUAGAUACCAGUUAUUAAUAUAAAAAUAUUUUGCUACAGCAACAUUGCUCCUAUCUGACUUUGUCUAUUCAACUUUGGGAACAAAUAAAAUCAUUUUUAUCAAAUAUUUUGAUUUAUGUCACACUACCAUAUGUAAAUUUUAUUAUUUUAUAUAAAUUAUUACCUAUUUCAGUUUGUCUUUGUCUAUGUUCAUAAAAUCUAUGGAGGUCAGAGGCACAUAUACCGUCCAUAAAGCCUUGCACUUGGGGUCUGGCCGGUUAGAACAUAGACAAAAGUCUGCAAUGUCAAUGCUGUCAAAGUAAUUGACUAUUUUCAUUUUCAAAACUAUCAGUUUUCAUAUAAAAUGAUUAAAUAACGAUUUAUGUUCUUGAAAUAGAUUUAUUGAUUAAUUUUUAAAAUUAAAAAUCCACCGCAGAGUAUCUCCGCUCAGACUCGGUUAAAGUUUAAUCCAUUGUACUAAACUAAGAAACAACAAUUAUUUCAAGAGGGUGAACUUGAGAAAAUAAUCCAUCAUUUCCUUGGAAAGGCUCAAAAUCAAAAGGCACGGAUCCGCCACAUAAUUCCGACUAGUUGUAGUUUCUCGGUGACCAUCAACAAGACCGCUGCAUUGAGCUGUGGAGCAGAAAGUGUCCGACAA